UACGGGGGGGGCAAGCGGUUGUUCGGAAUUACUGGGCGUAAAGGGCUCGUAGGCGGCCAACUCAGUCGGACGUGAAAUCCCUCGGCUUAACCCGGGGAACUGCGUCCGAUACUGGAUGGCUUGAGUGUGGGAGAGGGAUGCGGAAUUCCAGGUGUAGCGGUGAAAUGCGUAGAUAUCUGGAGGAACACCGGUGGCGAAGGCGGCAUCCUGGACUAC
rnacentral:rRNA from 1 species